GAUGAACGCUGGCGGCGUGCUUAACACAUGCAAGUCGAACGGAAAGGCCCAAGCUUGCUUGGGUACUCGAGUGGCGAACGGGUGAGUAACACGUGGGUGAUCUGCCCUGCACUUCGGGAUAAGCCUGGGAAACUGGGUCUAAUACCGGAUAGGACCACGUCUUGGAUGUUGUGGUGGAAAGUUUUUUCGGUGUGGGAUGAGCUCGCGGCCUAUCAGCUUGUUGGUGGGGUAAUGGCCUACCAAGGCGUCGACGGGUAGCCGGCCUGAGAGGGUGUACGGACACACUGGAACUGGGAUACGGCCCCGACUCCCACCGGAGGCAGCAGUGGCGAAUAUUGCACAAUGGGAGCAAGCCUGAUGCAGCGACGCCGCGUGGGGGGUGACGGCCUUCGGGUUGUAAGCGCCUUUCGCUAGGGACGAAGCGAUUUUGUGACGGUACCUGGAGAAGAAGCACCGGCUAACUACGUG
rnacentral:rRNA from 1 species